CCUACGGGUGGCAGCAGUGGGGAAUAUUGCGCAAUGGGCGAAAGCCUGACGUAGCGACGCCGCGUGAGGGAUGAAGGUCUUCGGAUCGUAAACCUCUGUCAGCAGGGAAGAACGGUCACUGUGCUAAUCAGCAGUGACUUGACGGUACCUGCCAAGGAAGCACCGGCUAACUCCGUGCCAGCAGCCGCGGUAAUACGGAGGGUGCGAGCGUUAACCGGAAUUACUGGGCGUAAAGCGCGCGUAGGCGGUAUGUCAAGUCAAGGGUGAAAUCCCCGGGCUCAACGUGGGAACUGCCUUUGAAACUGGGGAACUGGAGUGUGGGAGAGGAUAGUGGAAUUCCAGGUGUAGGAGUGAAAUCCGUAGAUAUCUGGAGGAACAUCAGUGGCGAAGGCGACUAUCUGGCACAUAACUGACGCUGAGGAGCGAAAGCGUGGGUAGCAAACAGGAUUAGAUACCCUGGUAGUC
rnacentral:rRNA from 1 species